rnacentral:lncRNA from 10 species
GCACGAUCUUGGCUGACUGCAACCUCUGCCUCCCGGGUUCAAGCAAUUAUCCCGCCUCAGCCUCCCAAGUAGCUGGGAUUUCAGGCCUUUAUCAUUCAGAUACUUUUUCUGUGCAACAUACACAGGGCUAUACCCCCCUCCAUUUUUGUUUCAAUCCCAACUGGCUUGUCUCUAAUAAAAAUACGAUCUCUUUUGGAGCUCCUUGUGUGUCAAUAAUAAUCCUAUCAACUUAUAAUUUAAUUUUAAUACAUUUAAAUUAGAACUUAUAAUUUAAUACAUUUAAAUUAGAAUUUUUUUCUGCCUCUUAAAAAGAAAUCCACCACAGAGACACUCCACAGCAUGCACACAUAAACCUAGACUUAGCAAUUUCUGUGACUACUUCUUGUGUUGUGCCUACAUCAACACUCCAGUGACCAUUCCUGGUCCAUACACUUACGUAUUCUCCUUUGAUUACAUCGCAUGGUCACUGCCGAAGUGGAAGAGCAUUUUAGAUGCUAAAAAUACUCUGCCGACUGCCUCUAGCAAAGCCUUUACUUUGAGUCAGCUCUCUUCCCUGAGGCAGGAAAAGGCCUGUUUCUCUACAAGG